UCGGGGAUCGUCUAAUGGUAGGACUACGGAUUCUGAUUCCGUCUAUCAAGGUUCGAAUCCUUGUCCCCGAACCA
rnacentral:tRNA from 2 species